CAAUAGAGUGCCUUAUAGGAGUCACUUGAAAAAAUCAAAUCAGGUAUGAAAUUUGAAUCAUCUAUAAAAAAUUUCAGCAGAAGUAUCCACUUCUUCCUGCUAUCCAAUCUGGAAGUGACACAAGACCUAUGUAUUUUUCAAUGGAUCUUUGCCAAAUUGAGUCUGGACAGAGGUACUCUAAAAGAUUGAAUGAAGAGCAAGUAACCAAUCUUCUAAGGGCUACCUGCCAGUGUCCUCAUCAGAGAGAACAAGAUAUUAAAAAUAUCGUAAAGCAGCACCGCUUCAACUCAUACAAGGUUGUGAAGGAGUUUAGAAUCAAUGUAAGAGAGGAUCUUGCUCUGGUUGAUGCCCGUGUUUUGACACCCCCAACGCUCAAAUAUCAUGGAACUGGUGGAGAAUCAAAACUUGCCCUCGGAUGGGUCAGUGGAAUAUGAUUUCUAAUAAAAUGAUUGAUGGUGGCAAGGUUCAAUUUUGGGGUUGCCUUUGCUUUGCAAGAAUGGACCCAACUCUGUUUUGCCAAGUGUUGGUUACUAUGUGUCAAGCCAAGGGACUGGUAUGAUGUAUGUUUGAACCAUAAUAUUUCCUCACAGACAUUAACCAACACCUUAUUCGCUGAUUAUUUAUCUUGGAGCUAUUCCCGGUCAUUAUGUCUAUGUCAAGUUGAAGGAUGGUUGUCCGAUACCUCCAACGUGUAUUCAAUGGAAGCAACAUUGUUCACAAGAAGCUAUUGUUUGGGAGUCAUAUUUUGCUGUUCAACAAGCCACAUUUAGUAAACUAAUGAAGGAACAAAUGGUCCACAACAAAAAGGAUGUCCGUGUUGGUUCCAAUUCUUGUGAUCCAAUUGACCUUUAAUAUUUUUUUGUUGUUUUCUGAUAUGAAUAUGUACUUACUUUACUUUGUUUUAAUUGCGACAUGAGACUAUUUCAAUUGCGAUGUAAAUGAUGUCCCCUUGAUUAAUUUCCGCAUGUUCAUGACUAACUUCCUCGGC